ACAGCUGGAUAGCUCAGUCGGCUAGAGUGUGGUGCUGAUAAUGCCAAUGUUGCGGGUUUGAUCCCUGUAAGGGACAGCUGCA